AUUAAUGAAAAGGGCAAUAGGAUCUUGAAAGGUGGAGGACACUGUCUAAAACGAUACAAAAGCUGCAGAGUCACCGGGCCUGCGAGCUUCCCAUGGCGAAGCUGGGACUCCCUGACAACCGCACAAACUCGCGUGGGGAUUUCAACGUCCCGAAGCACCCAGAUUCCUGUUGUGGCUGGACUCAGGGCUAGGGUGCUGCGAAAGGCAGGUUUGAAGCAGAAAGACAAAAAAAAAAAAAAAAAAGGUCACCUGAGUCAGCCCCAGGCGCUGCGUACAGAACAACCAUGGGGGAGGGUCCUGGACCCUGCCUGGACGGGUUCUGGACACUGGGCGGGGACGGGGCGGGAGGGGGGAAAGGUCAAAGAGGGGGCGGAACCUGAACAGGUGCUGGGUCGGGGCGAGAGGGUGGAGGCCGCUGACUGACUGCUAAAGACUCUUGGUACGUGAGGAAGAAACCCAGAAGAGGAAGAGAGGAAGAGGAAAGCAAAGGAGUCAGGGAUGGCUCUUUCUCAGAGUUGUCAGGGGAGUGUCCAUUGGCAGCACCUGCCU
rnacentral:sRNA from 1 species